GGGCUACACACGUGCUACAAUGGCGGUGACAGUGGGAAGCUAGAUGGCGACAUCGUGCUGAUCUCAAAAAACCGUCUCAGUUCGGAUUGCACUCUGCAACUCGAGUGCAUGAAGGUGGAAUCGCUAGUAAUCGCGGAUCAGCAUGCCGCGGUGAA
rnacentral:rRNA from 1 species